CACGGGGGGAGCAAGCGUUGUUCGGAAUCACUGGGCGUAAAGGGCGUGUAGGCGGUCAGGUAAGUGAGAUGUGAAAUGCCCCGGCUCACCCGGGGACCGGCAUCUCAUACUGCUUGGCUUGAGUACGGGAGAGGAUGUGGGAAUUCCUGGUGUAGCGGUGAAAUGCGUAGAUAUCGUAAGGAAGACCAGUGGCGAAGGCGGGUCUCUGGACAGUUCCUGACGCUGAGGCACGAAGGCCAGGGGAGCAAACGGG
rnacentral:rRNA from 1 species